rnacentral:rRNA from 1 species
GAUGAACGCUAGCGGCAGGCCUAACACAUGCAAGUCGAGGGGCAGCACGUCUUCGGAUGGUGGCGACCGGCGCACGGGUGCGUAACGCGUAUGCAACCUACCUCUUACAGUGGGAUAGCCCAGAGAAAUUUGGAUUAAUACCGCAUAGUAUACAGAUUCAGCAUUGGGACUGUAUUAAACAUUUAUGGGUAAGAGAUGGGCAUGCGUUCUAUUAGUUAGUUGGAGUGGUAACGGCACCCCAAGACAGCGAUAGAUAGGGGCCCUGAGAGGGGGAUCCCCCACACUGGUACUGAGACACGGACCAGACUCCUACGGGAGGCAGCAGUGAGG